rnacentral:rRNA from 1 species
AAUGAACGUUGGCGGCGUGGAUUAGGCAUGCAAGUCGUGCGCGAACUGUAGCAAUACAGGGAAAGCGGCGUAAGGGAGAGUAAUACGUAGGUAUCUACCCAUGGGUCUGGGAUAGCGGCGGGAAACUGCCGGUAAUACCAGAUAACGUCUCCGGACCAAAGGUGUGAUUCCACCUGUGGAGGAGCCUACGGCCUAUUAGCUAGUUGGCAGGGUAACGGCCUACCAAGGCUUGGAUGGGUACGGGGUGUGAGAGCAUGCCCCCCGCUCACUGGGACUGAGACACUGCCCAGACACCUACGGGUGGCUGCAGUCGAGAAUCUUCGGCAAUGGGCGCAAGCCUGACCGAGCGACGCCGCGUGCGGGAUGAAGGCCUUCGGUUGGUAACCGACUGUCGUAGGGGAGUGAACGACUAGUGAGUUAUCUCAUUAGUUUGUACUGAACCUAGGAGGAAGGGCCGGCGUAAUCUCGUGCCAGCA